UAGAUACAGUCAUCCUGACUCAAGAACGUCCUUGGCUUGUAUCUGUGUGCACGCCUCUAGACUGUCUCCGUUUACUGAAGUGUGUGAUGGGCCUGGGGGAAUCAGCCCAGUGAGCAAGCCGCUUGUGGUAUAAGCAGGAAGGCCUGAAUUCAGAUCCUUGGAGCCCACAAGACACCGUAUGCAGGACUGUGUCUGUAUUCCCAGUGCUUCUGUGAUGAGGACCUCCUGAGAGAGCCAUGAGAGCCACCAGCAUGAACCAGGAAGCUGUCUCUUAAAGGAGCUGUGCCUCUGCUUGCCUCUAGCAAACAGAACCCAAUGGAGAAAAUGCUACUACCAAGAAGCUGUGCUUGACUCUGCUCUUUUGUGUUUAGAAUCUCCUUUUAAGCCUUUGUCAGCUUUUAUGUGGCAAUUCUUGCCCUACGUUGGACAUCACAUGUAGUUGGAUGUUUAAUGUCCCGUCUGGUCCCCUAGGACCAGUUUCUCUCCAGCCUGUUGGUUCCCACAGCUGCUUACUAAAUAAUCAUCCUGAGACUUAAAGUUAUUAAGUUAUUUGGCCAAUGGCUCAGGCAUAUUACUGACUAGCUCUCACAAUUAAAUCAACCCAUUUCUAUUACACUAUAUUUUACCACAAGGCUCAUGGCUUGCUACCUCAUAUCUUGCUUCCCCUGGUGGCUACAUGGUGUCUCUCUGACUCUGCCUUCUUACUCUCCAUAACUCUGUUUGGAUUUCCUGCCUACCUGUAGUCUGCCUGGCCAUUGGUCAAAGCAGCUUUAUUUAUCAACCAAUAAAAGCAGCACAUUCGCAGCAGACAGAAGCUCAUCCAUAUCAGUGCAACAUCUGGAGCAGAAACCAAAAUCAAAGUUGGAAAGUCAUCUGGUGGAAGUCGUCUGGUGAGCCGCUUAUCUGCAGAGCCUGCAGAGAGCUGCUGAAUUCAUGGUGAGACUGGGGGAAGUGAAGGAGAUGAAGAGAAGGUACACAUAAAAGCCACCCUGGAUUUGGAGAAAGCAGCUGCAGGGACCUCUUUCUAAGGCCCCUUUGCUCUUGGUUUGGACAGAGGCCAAUAAGGAAAUCAACAUUUCCCAUGUUGGGGGGGGGGUCCUUACUCAAUAGGAAACCUCUAUAAGUUCCUUAAAGUUCAAUUCAAGCCCUGCCUAUCCCACAUGACUUUCUGGGUCCAGCGCACACUCUAGGAGCUUUUUUUCCAGUCCUCUGACCUUCUCUACUCCUUUUCGCUCCACUGGUUAUUGUCCAUCCUUGUAAUCAUCUGCAUGUCUCUUUCUUGUAAUCAUCUGCAUCUCUCUCUCUUGUAAUCGUCUGCAUGUCUCUCUCUUGUAAUCAUCCACAUGUCUUUUUCUCACCUAUUGGGAGCAUUUUGGCAUCAGAAUAAUGCAUUCUUGUUUGCGAGUUUCUGUCCAGCAUGUGGCUUGUAACAGGAACUCAAAGUAUAUUUAUUGGUCUGGAUUCUAAACUUUAAAAUGGCCACUUUAGUUCUGUUUACUUUUACUUGUCAACUUAAAACUGUCUUUAAAAAUAGUCUGUGCUUUAAUAAAAUCCAUUAAAAAUGG